UGGGGAAUAUUGGACAAUGGGCGAAAGCCUGAUCCAGCAAUGCCGCGUGAGUGAUGAAGGCCUUAGGGUUGUAAAGCUCUUUUACCAGGGAUGAUAAUGACAGUACCUGGAGAAUAAGCUCCGGCUAACUCCGUGCCAGCAGCCGCGGUAAUACGGAGGGAGCUAGCGUUGUUCGGAAUUACUGGGCGUAAAGCGUACGUAGGCGGUGACUCAAGUCAGAGGUGAAAGCCUGGAGCUCAACUCCAGAACUGCCUUUGAAACUAGGUCGCUAGAAUCACGGAGAGGUGAGUGGAAUUCCGAGUGUAGAGGUGAAAUUCGUAGAUAUUCGGAAGAACACCAGUGGCGAAGGCGGCUCACUGGCCAGUUUCUGACGCUAAAGUGCGAAAGCGUGGGGAUCAAACAGGAUUAGAUACCCUCGUAGUCCCUGAGCGGGCUGGCAAGGCGCAU
rnacentral:rRNA from 1 species